rnacentral:rRNA from 1 species
UACGUAGGGGCCGAGCGUUGUCCGGAGUUAUUGGGCGUAAAGCGCGCGCAGGCGGCCUCGCGCGCCCGACGUGAAAGCCCCCCGGCUUAACCGGGGAGGGUCGUUGGGGACGGCGGGGCUUGAGGGCGGGAGAGGUCGGUGGAAUUCCCGGUGUAGUGGUGAAAUGCGCAGAUAUCAGGAGGAACACCGGUGGCGAAGGCGGGUCUCUGGGCCGUAACUGACGCUGAGGAGCGAAAGCAUAGGGAGCGAACAGG